rnacentral:rRNA from 1 species
CGGACUGUAGGCUGCAACUCGCCUACACGAAGUCGGAAUCGCUAGUAAUCGCGGAUCAGUAUGCCGCGGUGAAUACGUUCCCGGGCCUUGUACACACCGCCCGUCACACCAUGGGAGUUUGUAACGCCCAAAGUCGGUGGCCUAACCUUUAUGGAGGGAGCCGCCUAAGGCGGGACAGAUGACUGGGGUGAAGUCGUAACAAGGUAAC